rnacentral:rRNA from 1 species
CUAGAGAUAGAAAGUUACUUCGGUACAUCGGUGACAGGUGGUGCAUGGUUGUCGUCAGCUCGUGUCGUGAGAUGUUGGGUUAAGUCCCGCAACGAGCGCAACCCCUAUUGUUAGUUGCCAUCAUUCAGUUGGGCACUCUAGCGAGACUGCGGUAAUAAACCGGAGGAAGUGGGAUGACGUCAAAUCAUCAUGCCCUUAUGACCUGGGCUACACACGUGCUACAAUGGUUGGUACAACGAGUUGCGAGUCGGUGACGGCGAGCUAAUCUCUUAAAGCCAAUCUCAGUUCGGAUUGUAGGCUGCAACUCGCCUACAUGAAGUCGGAAUCGCUAGUAAUCGCGGAUCAGCACGCCGCGGUGAAUACGUUCCCGGGCCUU